UUCUUCUGCUCCACUCCAGUUCUCCAUCAGCAUAGGUGACCGUGCAUAUAUGCACACACUCACCAAGAUGUAGAAGAAACCAUUUUAAAGCCUGAGCUCUUGGCUCCUUCCCUCAAGAUAUCAUGCUUGGAUGACUACUAGACAGGAAAGAGCUGACCCAAGAUACAGAGUACAUGGAGACAUGACCUGGUAGGAGUCUCCAGACACCAGACUCAGCUACUAGAAGUGAGCGACAGUGGAGACUGUAUCCAAGGAGGGGCUGAGAUAUACCUGCCUAGUGACACACGCAGGCCUGUAGGAACCUCUCUAUAGAUCCCAGGGUGGAAAGUGGAGGAAGAGAAAGAGAAGAAAGAAGAGGGAGGGAUGUGGGAUUGCAGAACAGGGCAGGCAAGAACCUGAGGAGGCCAGGCUCCCUGCCCCUCCCCUCUCCAGAACUUCCAGCCAGAGUACCCUCAUGUCCAGGCUGUUGUUGAUGCUGUACUGCUGUCCUCCAGUUGGAAGUGAUCAGAGCCAUGCUUCUCUGCACGUCUGGACACAUCCUCCUGAUGCUGCAGACCACCGACCCCACAGCUGCAGACCGACUCCGGGGAAAUCGACGCCCUAGGGACGCGCGCAAGGCUGGCGGACACCGGCUGGCGGUCGUCGGGAGCGCGCACGUCUGGACGCCGCCGCGGACAAUGCUGCUGCUGCUGCAACUGCUGUCUCUACUGCGGGAGCUCACGGCAGAGAGUCCCUGGGGGCUGCCUGUGGUAGCUGAUGGCCCAGCUUCCUUAGCAAAGGUGGUGAUGGCAGAACUGGCUGACCUGAAGUUAGAAAACAAGCCAUGGCCUGGAGGGACGCACUCUCUCCACUACCACUACCUGGCCCUAUCAGAGCCAGGCCCGGGCCUUCCUCAGUUUCUGGCUGUAGGCUACGUGGACGACCAGCCUUUCAUCCAUUAUGACAGUCGUGUGGACAGAGCCAAGCCCCAGGCCCCGUGGAUGGCAGCUGUGGACACCCAGUACUGGGAAACAGAGACCCAGAAGCAGAGAGCCUGGGCAAAGGUGCAGCAGGUGGAGACAUGGACUGUGAUGGGCUACCACAACCAGAGCAGUGGCACACACAGCACUCAGCGAACGUUCGGCUGUGAGAUCCGGGAAGACGGCUGUACCAGCAGCUUCUGGCAGUUUGGCUUUGAUGGCCAGGACCACCUGUCACUGGACCUGGAGACCCUGAGCUGGGUGUCAGCCAAGCCUGUGGCUGUGCAGACCAAGCGUUGGUGGGAAACAGAGCGCUGCUAUGCCGAAUACGACAAGGCCUACCUGGAGGGCCUCUGCCUCACUUCCCUGCACAGGUACCUGGAGCUGGGCAGCCAGAGCCUCACCCGGAAAGAGCCGCCCAAAGUGCAGGUGACAAGACACACAGCUGAGGAUGGGAGCAUCACACUGAGAUGCUGGGCCCGGGGCUUCUACCCACGGGACAUCUCAUUGAGCUGGUGGCUGGGGGAGGACGAGCUGGUUCAAGAGACCGAGUAUGUGGAGACACGCCCUGGUGGAGAUGGUACCUACCAGACAUGGGCGGCCGUGCGGGUGCCAGCCAGGAUGGAGAAUGGGUACAUUUGCCAUGUGCAGCACUCCAGCUUGAACCAUACACUCACUGUGGCCUGGGAAGCACCCUCUCAUCAGUGGAUAACCAGUGCCAAGGUUGUCUCCAUCAUCUUCACCAUCACUUUCUUGCUGGUGGCUGGAGUUUUGAUUUUCAUCAAGCAGUACUCUCAAGAACUGUUCUCUCUUGGGGAGAAGCAACUACUAUUGAACACCUGUCCCCAUCUGUGGAAAAGCCCAAGUACCCCCACCCAAUAGCCAUACAUUGCCCUAAAGACACUGUGGAUCACACAGCCAGGGAAGACCACUAGGAUUGACCUUCAAAAGACCCGAGAGGGGGAGAGGGAGUGGAAGGUGGGUACCUGGGACCCCCACCUCUGCCUACCACCCACCUAGUCUCUCCUUUUGUGUUCUUUUUCCCAUAGCCAGGAAUAAGGAAUCUUGCAAACAAGCCCCAGGUGGAGAGGAGCCUCAUAAUUCCCAAAACCCAAUGAGCGUGGAGACUGCUCAGCUGCUCUGCUGACACAAGUUCACUGUCACAGAUCAAGGAGGUGUUUUAUAGAGGGUUUGGGGGCAUCCAGUGUGCUAGCUGGCUGGCAGUGGUGAUCCAACUCUGAAGGGCCCACCCCACCUCAAAACUGAGCCCUCCUCAGCUCCAUCAGCCUCAUCACAAGCAGUCUGGGCCAGUAAGAUUUGCCAUCUUCCUGAAGUCCUUUUAAAAGUCUAAUUGUCUCCAGUUUGGGGGCGUGGGAAGGAGGGCAGUAAUAAUUCCUCAGAUCGGUUCACACUUGACAAUUUGCACGAUAAUUUCAUGUAAAGUGUAAAUCCCACCUGAGCCUCUCAGGUACUCUGUGAGUUCGGUGAUGGUAUUCUCACCGCCACUUCCCCAACAUGGAAACCACAGCUAUGGGAAGUUAAGGAAGAACCAGAAGAACAGUCAAGGAGUUAUGGGGGCAGCAUGGCCAAAUGCCUACCUCCUUUUAUAAAUGUGUUCUUGUGUGUAUGUAUAUUUUCUUUUAUAAAGAAGAUUGGAGUGUU